rnacentral:rRNA from 1 species
GGCAAGUCUGGUGCCAGCAGCCGCGGUAAUUCCAGCUCCAAUAGCGUAUAUUAAAGUUGUUGCAGUUAAAAGCUCGUAGUUGAACUUUAGGCAAGGCGGCCUGGUCACCCACUGGGUGUACUGGGCUCGCCGCGCCUCACCUUCGGGGAACUAGCUGUGCUUCGGUGCACUAGGGAACCGAGCCUUACUUUGAAGAAAUUAGAGUGUUUAAAGCAGGCUUACGCUUGAAUACGCCAGCAUGGAAUAACAAGAUAGGACUUUGGUUCUAUUUUGUUGGUUUGAGGACCAAAGUAAUGAUUAAUAGGGCCAGUCGGGGCAUUAGUAUUCUAUAGUCAGAGGUGAAAUUCUUGGAUUUAUAGAAGACUAACUAAUGCGAAAGCAUUUGCCAAGGAUGUUUUCAUUAAUCAAGAACGAAAGUUAGGGGGAUCGAAGACGAUCAGAUACCGU